rnacentral:rRNA from 1 species
GAGUUUGAUCAUGGCUCAGGACGAACGCUGGCGGCGCGCCUAACACAUGCAAGUCGAACGGAGCUUGUUUGUUUGAUUCUUUCGGGAUGACGACUUAUAAGCUUAGUGGCGAACGGGUGAGUAACACGUGAGUAACCUGCCCCAGAGUGGGGGACAACAGUUGGAAACGACUGCUAAUACCGCAUAAGCCCACGGAACCGCAUGGUUCUGAGGGAAAAGGAGCAAUUCGCUUUGGGAUGGACUCGCGUCCGAUUAGCUAGAUGGUGAGGUAACGGCCCACCAUGGCGACGAUCGGUAGCCGGACUGAGAGGUUGAUCGGCCACAUUGGGACUGAGACACGGCCCAGACUCCUACGGGAGGCAGCAGUGAGGAAUAUUGGUCAAUGGGCGUUAGCCUGAACCAGCCAAGUAGCGUGAAGGAUGAAGGCUCUAUGGGUCGUAAACUUCUUUUAUAUAAGAAUAAAGUGCAGUAUGUAUACUGUUUUG